AAAGAAAUUUUAAUAACACCACUACAUACACACAUAUGCAACAAAGGGCAAAAUGUGCAUAAACAUUUACCUGAAUGAUAGAAAGAAACAACCAAAGUUUUCGUGUUUGAACAAGUUUUGUUUUGAGCUAUAUAUAUUAUAGCUGCUUGUGAAGUAUUAUUUUGCGUGUUUUAUUUAAAUCAGUGAUCUGCAGCCUAAUUAAAGUUUAAAUUAUUGAAGCAUGCAUUUUUAAAUAAGUAAAACGUAAAAUAAAAGUAUUCUAAAUCCAAAAUAUGGAAUUGAAGAAGGUGAUACAGUAAUACUUCAUUGCACUGUCAAUUCGAAGCACGCAAAAAUUUCCAUACAGAUAUUUCAAACCUCAUACGGCGCGUUAAAGGUACGCAAACUUAUUGGUGUCACUUAUGGUAGCAGCGUAGAACUUUCGAAGCGAUGGAAUAUGUGCUGCAAGCAAAUCCAGAACUAUGGAUGCAAAUGCUGCUACAUGGAACAAAAAUCAUUUACACACCAGAUAUUAGGCUUAAUGCCACUUUUUGCAAUUAAACAUUUUGGUCAAAACAAGCACGAGAAUUGGAACGACAUGGUUUAGGUGAUUUUGUAACCGUUUUUCAUCGCGACGUGUGUCAAUUGGGUUUUGCCAAUGAGCUAGAGGGCAAAGCAGAUGCAGUAUUUUUGGACUUACCGGCACCUCAGUUGGCCAUACCAGCAGUUGAAGAGAGGGAGGACUUUUUUGAUUCAUUUCCACUUUGUAUUGAGGAAUCAUAACGUUAUUGUAUCGCUUUACAAAGACAUGGAUUCAACGAAAUUAGUUCAGUGGAAACACAACAGCAAGAGUAUGGAUGUUAUGACUAGAACGUUGCCCGUGCUAUAUUUAGAAUUCCUGAAACAUAAGAUAUUGGAAACACAAAUACUUUGCACAAAUGAAGGAUUACAAUAGUUACAACUUUUCUUAGGCAUGAUGAACAAGACAACAACAAAUCACAUCGGACAUUUAGAUUAGCAGUUGCACAACCUCUUUCCGACGAGCUGAACCCCUUUUUGAUGUACAUAUGGGAUAGGAUUGUGUGGAAUUGACAUCAAACAAUAUUGGUUGGUUAGUUUCGUUGGAUCUUUACAGGAUAGUUAUAAGGAAAUCGUUCGCGUUUAGUACUAAUGUAUUCAUUUGCUAAUUCAUAAUUUAAAUGUAAAAUAUUGUAAAAUUAACAUCUAUAUACAAAUGAAUGUUCGAAUACUAAAAACAGUCGUAAUAAUAGUGGAAUUUUAUUUGUAUUGUAUAACAACAACUACAAAAAAAUAAAAAAUUAACGUUUGUAAAAAUGAAAGUUUACUUUGUACUGAAAUGCUAAUUUUUAAAAAUUAAUCUAUAAUAAUUAUUAAAAAUGUGAAAUACCAUACUAAUUUAUAAAUGUAAAUACCUCAGACAAUUAAAUAAAUAUAAAUAAAAAUAAAACAACAAUUUCAAUUGU